CCUGGCCUUGACAUACUAAGAACUUUCCAGAGAUGGAUUGGUGCCUUCGGGAACUUAGAUACAGGUGCUGCAUGGCUGUCGUCAGCUCGUGUCGUGAGAUGUUGGGUUAAGUCCGCAACGAGCGCAACCCUUUUCCUUAUUUGCCAGCGGGUCAUGCCGGGAACUUUAAGGAUACUGCCAGUGACAAACUGGAGGAAGGCGGGGACGACGUCAAGUCAUCAUGGCCCUUACGGCCAGGGCUACACACGUGCUACAAUGGUCGGUACAAAGGGUUGCUACCUCGCGAGAGGAUGCUAAUCUCAAAAAGCCGAUCGUAGUCCGGAUCGCAGUCUGCAACUCGACUGCGUGAAGUCGGAAUCGCUAGUAAUCGCGGAUCAGAAUGCCGCGGUGAAUACGUUCCCGGGCCUUGUACACACCGCCCGUCACACCAUGGGAGUUUGUUGUACCAGAAGUAGGUAGUCUAACCGCAAGGAGGACGCUUACCACGGUGUGGCCGAUGACUGGGGUGAAGUCGUAACAAGGUAGGCGUAGAUGA
rnacentral:rRNA from 1 species